rnacentral:rRNA from 1 species
AGUAACGCGUAAGAAUCUACCUACAGACUCGGGACAACAGUUAGAAAUGACUGCUAAUACCGGAUAUGCCUUCGGGUGAAAGAUUUAUCAUCUGUAGGUGAGCUUGCGUCCGAUUAGCUAGAUGGUGAGGUAAUGGCUUACCAUGGCGACGAUCGGUAGCUGGUCUGAGAGGAUGACCAGUCACACUGGGACUGAGACACGGCCCAG